AUACGUAGGGACCAAGCGUUGUUCGGAUUUACUGGGCGUAAAGGGCGCGUAGGCGGCAUGACAAGUCACUUGUGAAAUCUCUGGGCUUAACCCAGAACGGCCAAGUGAUACUGUCGCGCUAGAGUGCAGAAGGGGCAAUCGGAAUUCUUGGUGUAGCGGUGAAAUGCGUAGAUAUCAAGAGGAACACCUGAGGUGAAGACGGGUUGCUGGGCUGACACUGACGCUGAGGCGCGAAAGCCAGGGGAGC
rnacentral:rRNA from 1 species